AUGGCCCGGCUUACAUUAUUCAUCCCCUGCUGCGUUUCACGGACAGAUAGGCGGGGCAGCCCCUCCAGCUCCCCCAUGGCCCGGCUUACAUUAUUCAUCCCCUGCUGCGUUUCACGGACAGAUAGGCAGGGCAGCCCCUCCAGCUCCCCCAUGGCCCGGCUUACAUUAUUCAUCCCCUGCUGCGUUUCACGGGUGUUUGGUUACAGGAAGGAUCACGUUUUGCUGCCAGCGCUACCGAUCCAGGCCCCAGCAGCUCCUUCCCCGCACAGGGCUGCAUGGUUGGGGAGGCCCCUCUCCCCAGGUGGAAUCGGGGCUAAUCGCCUGCCCUGGGUGGCCCGAUCAGGGCAGAACUGCACGAGUCAUCUUUGCACCUUGUCUAGCAUCCUGCAUGUAAGGAAAUCCAACACAUGUGUGUUGGUUGAGUGAAAGAUUAACUUGAAAGUGUACAUUCAGGUAAAUGCACGCUUUCCCACUUGGAAGAUGUGGUUAUGUUUUGAAUCAGACUUAGCUGGUUUAUAUCUUGUUUCUCCCAUUAGCCACCUAUUUGACAUUGAAAAAAGUUACUGAAUUCUGUGUGCUUCUGUUUCAUCAUCUGUGAAAUGGGUGCCACAUGGCAAGGCUGAGAUGAGGCAGAAUGUGAAAGUGGCAGCCACAGGGUGAGGCAUACAGUAGGUGCUCCAUCCAUGCUCGUCCCGUCUCCCAGACCAGCCACAGGGUGAGGCAUACAGUAGGUGCUCCAUCCAUGCUCGUCCCGUCUCCCAGACCAGCCACAGGGUGAGGCAUACAGUAGGUGCUCCAUCCAUGCUCGUCCCGUCUCCCAGACCAGCCACAGGGUGAGACAUACAGUAGACGCUCCAUCCACACCCGUCCCAUCUCCCAGACCAGCCACUGCGUGAGGCAUACAGUAGGCGCUCCAUCCACGCUCGUCCCGCCUCCCAGACCCCGAUUUGCCCGAAGCAUUCUGAAGGGUGUGGGAAACUUAGGAGUCUCUGUUGUUUCUGGGGCAACACUGGGGCUGUGAAAGGAAAAUAAAAUCUGGGGACUCCAAUUCACUGCCAAGGGAAACCCUUAAAGCUAGAAGCUGAGCCCCGUGAGGAGCAGCGCAGGGAGCUGCCCAGCAAAGGCUCAGUUCUCCACUGGCAGCUGCUCUACGUCCCCUGGCCUUGUGCAAAGUCUGACUUUCUGAGCCCAGGACGAAUGCAUCAUUCACCAUUGUCCUGCCUGUUCCUUCCUCCUGCAACACGUGGGUUCAGUCAGGCAACCAAACCUCCCUCUUUCUCCUCCAGCCUGCAUUUCCCCUUUAAAGUAUCGAAACCCUCAAAAUCAUCUUGGAGAAAGGCACAGAGCUGUCUCCCGGGCAUGCCCUUAACCUUGCAAAUGAACUUAAUGGAUUGAGGCCUGUGUGUCAUGCUUUCUGGUUUACAGGACCCAUGUUGGUGCGGAGGAAGUCAAGGUAGGAAACCUCGGGUUCUUUCAAAAUUGUCCUCUAAGCAGGAAGGAAUCUGGAACUGGGAAGGACAGCAGGCAUGUUUUCUAGCAGUUCUAACGAAUUAUCUUCUUACUGUCAAUAACAAUUUAUCUAGUCUCUAAUUAUCUUCAGUCCAGCGGAAGACAGAUUUCCUCAUCUCCUAACUGCCUCUUGGAAGAGCUAAAGUAAGUUAAAUUUUAAAAAUACCCUGAUCCCAGGCGACUGCCCCUGCUGAGCUGAUCUCGGCUUGCAGGAGAGGCGCUGUGGGCCACCAGCUUGCGCCCUGCGGCGGGAGGGGCUCCAGUGGCCGGAUUCUAGCCAGUGUCCCUGCCCUGCAGUUAAGCACAGGGGCUUUGGGGGUCUGUCAUGCGCCACAACAAUCAACCUCCUGGAGCCUCAGUUUCUCGUCUUUGAAGGGGGAUCAUACCGAAAUUGUUCAGGGAUGGCUUCGGUUUCCGUUACUGAAGCUAAGGCCCGAGGUCCCGGCUCUCAGCACGUUUUGCUCAUGUAGCCCUCGAA
rnacentral:lncRNA from 1 species